rnacentral:rRNA from 1 species
UACGGGGGGAGCAAGCGUUGUUCGGAUUUACUGGGCGUAAAGGGCGCGUAGGCGGCCACCGCAAGUCGGUUGUGAAAUCUCCGGGCUUAACCCGGAAAGGUCAACCGAUACUGCGGGGCUAGAGUGCAGAAGGGGCAACUGGAAUUCUCGGUGUAGCGGUGAAAUGCGUAGAUAUCGAGAGGAACACCUGCGGCGAAGGCGGGUUGCUGGGCUGACACUGACGCUGAGGCGCGAAAGCUAGGGGAGCGAACGGG